UAGGGAAUCUUCCACAAUGGGCGCAAGCCUGAUGGAGCAACACCGNGUGAGUGAAGAAGGGUUUCGGCUCGUAAAGCUCUGUUGUUAAAGAAGAACACGUAUGAGAGUAACUGUUCAUACGUUGACGUAUUAACCAGAAGUCACGGCUAACUACGUGCCAC
rnacentral:rRNA from 1 species